AUUGAACGCUGGCGGCAGGCCUAACACAUGCAAGUCGAACGAGUGGCGGACGGGUGAGUAAUGUCUGGGAAACUGCCUGAUGGAGGGGGAUAACUACUGGAAACGGUAGCUAAUACCGCAUACCAUCGGAUGUGCCCAGAUGGGAUUAGCUAGUAGGUGGGGUAAAGGCUCACCUAGGCGCCGAUCCCUAGCUGGUCUGAGAGGAUGACCAGGAAAACUGGAACUGAGAAACGGGCCAGACGCCGACGGGAGGCAGCAGUGGGGAAUAUGGCACAAUGGGCGCAAGCCUGAUGCAGACAUGCCGCGUGUAUGAAGAAGGCCUGCGGGUUGUAAAGUACUUGCAGCGGGGAGGCGUUACCCGCAGAAGAAGCACCGGCUAACUCCGUGCCAGCAGCCGCGGUAAUA
rnacentral:rRNA from 1 species